rnacentral:misc_RNA from 1 species
AGAUGUCUUUAGGAGUCUUUAUUUUUUAAUUUUAUGUCUUACUUUGCGGAUUAGGAUUAGUUUUAGAGUCCAUUAUCUUUAAGGAGGAUUAAUACGAGUCAUUAAAUACCAUCAUAAUUCACUUUUUUUAUUGAAUAAGAUACAAGUAGUUAUGUGUCUAUGGAUUGUGUGAUGCAAUUCUAACCUAAGUGUGAAGUAGGGGUGUUUGGUUCCGGUAUGGUUCUAGCUAAGAACCAGAAUCAAACCUUUGGUUUUUUGACUUUUAGGAAGCAAACUUGGAACCAAACUUUGAUUCCAGUUCCGGCCCAGUUCUAAGCAAUUUCAGUACGAUUUUAACUCUAUUUUUGGUUCUGUUUUAGUUUCAAUUUUGAUUCUAAU